rnacentral:rRNA from 1 species
CCUACGGGAGGCAGCAGUGGGGAAUAUUGGACAAUGGGCGAAAGCCUGAUCCAGCCAUGCCGCGUGUGUGAAGAAGGUCUUCGGAUUGUAAAGCACUUUAAGUUGGGAGGAAGGGCAGCUAAUUAAUACUUCGCUGUUUUGACGUUACCGACAGAAUAAGCACCGGCUAACUCUGUGCCAGCAGCCGCGGUAAUACAGAGGGUGCAAGCGUUAAUCGGAAUUACUGGGCGUAAAGCGCGCGUAGGUGGUUUGUUAAGUUGAAUGUGAAAUCCCCGGGCUCAACCUGGGAACUGCAUCCAAAACUGGCAAGCUAGAGUAGGGCAGAGGGUGGUGGAAUUUCCUGUGUAGCGGUGAAAUGCGUAGAUAUAGGAAGGAACACCAGUGGCGAAGGCGACCACCUGGGC